UCAAUGUCUUACUAGACAUUUGUUGUUUUUUUAUGCCUAUACAUUGAAUCAAGCAUUUCUGUAUCUUGUUUUUUAUGAGUACAUUCCUGCAAAAUGCCAUAAUUUGAUAUUAGCAGCAGCUGUUAAUAAAUUAGAAGCUAUUAACUAAACAUACCUAAAUGACACAGCUAAUAAAUGGAUUAGUUUCAUGUUCAUAACAAACUGAAAAAUACAUUACUCCAAGAAAAAGUCUUGAUACUGGAUUUUAUUUUCUGCCGUCUGUCUUGAGCAUGACAUAAAUCUGGUAGGAAAAAAGGUUACAGAUGAGUCUUAGCAUUUUGGUGGGAUUUUAAAGUGAGGAUUUAUAAGUUAGGUAGCCUUAGUUUGUCCUAUUACAUAAACCAUCUCACUUCUCCCAGCUUGAUUUGCUAGGUAUAAAAUAAGUUCCCACUGCAGUAUCUUUUUAAAAUGGCAAUAUAUUUGAAACUAAGACAAUGCAAUUUUUAAAAUGUUGUUCUUAUAUUAUUGGUAAGGGAAAGUUAAAAAACUGGUGUAAUCUCUACCGUGUAGUGCUUGAGCUACUUUAGAUAUGGGCUAUUCUUUAACCCAUAAUUCUUUAGGAAUUAACGUUGUAGUAACAGGAGAAAACAUUUGCUAGGCUGAAUUUUGAGUUAUAUAACUUGAGCUUAUUCCUUCGGGUUCUAGAAUCACAAUUUGUAUAGUCGUAUGACAAAAAAAUAAUUGCCACUUAAUAAAUUUGGUAUGGGUUGCCAGUAUGCUGAGUUAAAUACACUUUUUUCAGUCUCUGUAACAGCAGAGGGUAAGAUGCUGCCACUUAUAUCCCCUGGUGACAGAAGCUAAAUAAUGUUGGUUUUGCUUCAAAGACAAAGAUCAUUGCUACAUCUGACAUAUCUUCAAUGGUUUCUAAGCGUCUUAAUAGUAUAUCACAGUAAGUUAGGAUGCUAUAGUGAUUAGGGAAGUGCUGAGGAGAGACACUGUGAGACAGCAUUAGGGAUAGAAUGAAAAAAAGAUCUUUUUUUAAGACCUUUGGAGCAGAGGGAAUGAAUGGUACAUCAGAAGAGACUGUAAACUCUUCAUUAUGAUGCUAAACAGCCAAAGAUGGGGUAAUCUUGAGUAAACGUGAUAGUGUUAAAAUCAUUACUGCAGCAUGGAUGCUACUAGUUGACUUGUUAACUAAAAUAUGUUAAGAGCAUAAGGACCCCUUGAGCAAAUUAUGAUUCUGCCAGGUAUUUGUCUAAGCAAAAUGUAAUGAUGUAGUGUGACUAUAUUUCUAUUAUAGGACGAAAGAGAGGAAGAACACCAGUAAGGCUAACUUCUACUUUGUACCCAUCUGAAUGAAUGAUGUACCAGUUUUAAUACUAAGUAGGGAGGCAGAAUAGCCUAAGAGAGAUUUAGAGCUCAGCUUAAUUUUAGAAUAGUCCAUAGUAUUCCUAUGUGGUGUUCUUCAGCAGGCUAUUGGAAAUGUGAAUUUGAAGGUCAGAAGACAGAUCAUAGUGCUAUGAAUCCAAAGAGGUUCCAGAAUAUAUAUUUAUGUGCUCGGGGAUGUGAAACCCUAUCAUGUGGGGCUUCUCAGCUUCCAGUAAUUUGUAUAGCACCUUUAUACUUACAUGGUUGUUUGAUAUCUCCCUAAUAUAUAUAUAUAUAUAUAUAUAUGCAUAUGCAUUUUAAUAUUUAUGCAUUAUAUAUUUAUGUAUGUAUAUUUGGCUUAGUUUCAUGAAUAACAGCUAUUAAGACAUAACUGGGAAUUAAAGCACCAUUGUUGGUGACAUUAUUGUU
rnacentral:lncRNA from 1 species